rnacentral:rRNA from 1 species
GAUGAACGCUGGCGGCGUGCCUAAUACAUGCAAGUCGAGCGAACGGACGAGAAGCUUGCUUCUCUGAUGUUAGCGGCGGACGGGUGAGUAACACGUGGAUAACCUACCUAUAAGACUGGGAUAACUUCGGGAAACCGGAGCUAAUACCGGAUGAUAUUUUGAACCGCAUGGUUCAAAAGUGAAAGACGGUCUUGCUGUCACUUAUAGAUGGAUCCGCGCUGCAUUAGCUAGUUGGUAAGGUAACGGCUUACCAAGGCAACGAUGCAUAGCCGACCUGAGAGGGUGGUCGGCCACACUGGAACUGGGACACGGUCCAGACUCCUACGGGAGGCAGCAGUAGGCAAUCUUCCGCAGUGGGCGAAAGCCUGGCGGAGCAACGCCGCGUGAGUGAUGAAGGUCUUCGGAUCGUAAAACUCUGUUAUUAGGGAAGAACAUAUGUGUAAGUAACUGUGCACAUCUUGACGGUACCUAAUCAGAAAGCCACGGCUAACUACGUG